CCAAGACAGGGAAAUGAGGAUUAUGAGGAACUAUGAAUGUAGUGGAUAAACUAGACCCCUCUGAUGCCUCAGCUCCCAGCAUGUUCUCAAAAGCAGUUCAAUGUCUGGGGAGGAACAGGGCUGUCAUAGCUCAAAACCACCAACCUCUACCCUAUUUAUUCCUGGUUCCUCCAGAAGCAGUGCUGGGGAGAAACAUGAAUAUUCAUUGGUUUGAGAUUACCAAAAAAAUGCAAGGCAAGUGUUUUGUGGGGGAAGCUGGUUUUGUG
rnacentral:lncRNA from 1 species